rnacentral:tRNA from 3 species
AGGUGUAGCGCAGUUUGGUAGCGCGCUUGGUUCGGGACCAAGAGGUCGUGGGUUCAAGUCCCGUCACCU